UAGGCACCUCCAAUACCAUCGAAAGCGGUCAAGGCACCGACGGAGUAGGUGACGACGGCGCAAGCAAUACCGUUAGAACGAGCGUAACCCUCAGCAGCGAAGGCACAGUUCAACUCGUUACAGCAACCAAUCUCAGACAAACCGGGAUAGUACUCCAAGAAGUCCAAAAGACGAAGGUUGUAGUCACCAGGAACAACAAAGUGGUUCUUGAUACCGAUUUCGACCAAUCUCUGGGCGAGAUAGGUACCAACGGUCAUAGUAGAUUCAGCGUCCUUAGUCAUUGUUGCUAAUGUCUGUAUUCAAA